GUGAAUCAUCGAAUCUUUGAACGCAAAUUGCACUCUCUGGUAUUCCGGAGAGUAUGCCUGUUUGAGGGUCAGUUAAAUAAAAAUCGGUGUGGUUGCUGCUUUUCGUGGUGACGCACCGGAUUUGGGUCGUCUUGCCUUCGGUUAAGUGGUCUAAAAUUUUGCAUGAUUUUUUCGAACGUAUUUAAAUGAUUUUACGUAUGUUUGCGAUAUCGAAUAAUAGGUGUGGGAAUCUUCAUGUGUCGCGCAUAUAAUU
rnacentral:misc_RNA from 1 species